rnacentral:rRNA from 1 species
GACGAACGCUGGCGGCGUGCUUAACACAUGCAAGUCGAACGGAAAGGCCCUGCUUUUGUGGGGUGCUCGAGUGGCGAACGUGUGAGUAACACGUGAGUAACCUGCCCUUGACUUUGGGAUAACUUCAGGAAACUGGGGCUAAUACCGGAUAGGAGCUCCUGCUGCAUGGUGGGGGUUGGAAAGUUUCGGCGGUUGGGGAUGGACUCGCGGCUUAUCAGCUUGUUGGUGGGGUAGUGGCUUACCAAGGCUUUGACGGGUAGCCGGCCUGAGAGGGUGACCGGCCACAUUGGGACUGAGAUACGGCCCAGACUCCUACGGGAGGCAGCAGUGGGGAAUAUUGCACAAUGGGCGGAAGCCUGAUGCAGCAACGCCGCGUGCGGGAUGACGGCCUUCGGGUUGUAACCCGCUUUCGCCUGUGACGAAGCGUGAGUGACGGUAAUGGGUAAAGAAGCACCGGCUAACUACGUG